rnacentral:lncRNA from 1 species
GAAAUAUCAAUUUAAUCCCUGAAUUUGUUAAAUGUCAAUCAAGUUAGUCCUUCAGUUCAAAUGGAGCGUUGAUGGGGCUGACGUGGCCGUUAACCUCUCAGUUCAAACGGAGCGUUGACGGGACUGACGUGGCCGUUAACCUCUCACAUAUCAGACGCCACGUAGGCAGGGACUAAUUUGGCCGAUAAUGACCUAAUUUUCAAGGACUAAGUUGAUUGAAUUUCAGGAAAUUGCUCUUCUUCCCCAAUGGCUCUCUUCCUUCUCCAAAGGCUAUUUCAUCCCCAAAUAUAUAAAAUUGGAACCCUAAUUUUACAAUGUGUAAUCUACACUCCAAAAUCUCAAAAUUUUCUUCCAAUAAUUAAGGGUCACGUUCUUCCCCAAAUCAAAAAAUUGCAAACCCUAAUUUUUUUAAUUGAAUCUGAAAACCAAAAUCUGCAAAAUUCAUUCAAGCAAAACUA